GUUGCUUUUCUUAAACACCAACUAAGUUGGCCAAGUCAAUGAACGAAAUCAAUUAAUGAAUCACCUUCCUUCGAGAUGUAAUCCCUGAAUCACUUUUCUAGACACCAAUUAAACUGACCAAUCUUAAUCCGAUCCAACACAUAGGGUUUCCUGUCUUAUUGAGCUCGAGAGUCCUUAAGGGUCAAUAUCUAAUUAAUUUUAAGUUAAAGGCUUGGUCAAUGCAAAUACAGAAUUGUGACUUGUGGGCCA
rnacentral:lncRNA from 1 species